CUUAUUGUAAAUCUUAUGUGUUCCCUCACUAGUUCAAUUGCAUUGAAUAAGUUGUCUUAGAUUGAAUUUUAAAUUUGUGAAUAUAUGGAAGUGGAGGAGUACGUCAAGCACCCAGGGAAGUUUGCACUUGUUGGAGGAAAACGGCUCAAGGGAAUGAUCAUGACAGGUGGGAUUGGGACUGGUAAGACUCUGCUUUCCAAGACUAUUGCAGCAGAAGCCAGAGUACCUUCAUUUAUUCAGAGCAGAUUCAGAAAGGAAUUGAGGGUCUGCCAAUGGUAUUCUCUGUGUGCAACAUUAUAAAAGGGAGAAGGAGAAAAUGUAGAAGCACAAGCACUAGAUAUCUUGGAGCCUGCAAAAGCUGUAGUAGUCACGCUUGCA